rnacentral:tRNA from 1 species
AGCCCCGGGGGCGACAUUGCCCAAAAAAGCCCCCGGACCUGUAACGGGCGGUCCCGGGUUCGAAUCCCGGCGGGCCGA